ACCAUCCGGUUUCCAUUCACAUCAGAUCUAAACACUGGUCUGAUGGUUACAAAAGGAGGAGAGGGAACACUGGGAUGGACUCCAAUGCUUUCACAGCACGUGGCCUAGUUUCACACAAGU
rnacentral:snoRNA from 1 species